rnacentral:rRNA from 1 species
GGGGAUUAGUGGCGAACGGGUGAGUAACACGUGGGCAAUCUGCCCUGCACUCUGGGACAAGCCCUGGAAACGGGGUCUAAUACCGGAUACUGACCCGCUUGGGCAUCCAAGCGGUUCGAAAGCUCCGGCGGUGCAGGAUGAGCCCGCGGCCUAUCAGCUUGUUGGUGAGGUAAUGGCUCACCAAGGCGACGACGGGUAGCCGGCCUGAGAGGGCGACCGGCCACACUGGGACUGAGACACGGCCCAGACUCCUACGGGAGGCAGCAGUGGGGAAUAUUGCACAAUGGGCGAAAGCCUGAUGCAGCGACGCCGCGUGAGGGAUGACGGCCUUCGGGUUGUAAACCUCUUUCAGCAGGGAAGAAGCGAAAGUGACGGUACCUGCAGAAGAAGCGCCGGCUAACUACGUGCCAGCAGCCGCGGUAAUACGUAGGGCGCGAGCGUUGUCCGGAAUUAUUGGGCGUAAAGAGCUCGUAGGCGGCUUGUCACGUCGGUUGUGAAAGCCCGGGGCUUAACCCCGGGUCUGCAGUCGAUACGGGCAGGCUAGAGUUCGGUAGGGGAGAUCGGAAUUCCUGGUGUAGCGGUGAAAUGCGCAGAUAUCAGGAGGAACACCGGUGGCGAAGGCGGAUCUCUGGGCCGAUACUGACGCUGAGGAGCGAAAGCGUGGGGAGCGAACAGGAUUAGAUACCCUGGUAGUCCACGCCGUAAACGGUGGGCACUAGGUGUGGGCGACAUUCCACGUCGUCCGUGCCGCAGC